UCCAGACUCCUACGGGAGGCAGCAGUGAGGAAUAUUGGUCAAUGGCCGGAAGGCUGAACCAGCCAAGCCGCGUGAAGGACGAAGGUGCCAAGCAUUGUAAACUUCUUUUGUCAAGGGACAAAAUCAGGCUCGAGAGCCUGACCGAGGGUACUUGAAGAAAAAGCAUCGGCUAACUACGUGCCAGCAGCCGCGGUAAUACGUAGGGGGCGAGCGUUAUCCGGAUUUACUGGGUGUAAAGGGAGCGUAGACGGUUCUGCAAGUCUGAAGUGAAAGCCCGUGGCUUAACCGCGGAACGGCUUUGGAAACUGUGGAACUGGAGUGCUGGAGAGGCAAGCGGAAUUCCUAGUGUAGCGGUGAAAUGCGUAGAUAUUAGGAGGAACACCAGUGGCGAAGGCGGCUUGCUGGACAGUAACUGACGUUGAGGCUCGAAAGCGUGGGGAGCAAACAGGAUUAGAUACCCUUGUA
rnacentral:rRNA from 1 species